AAACAUGUCUUUAAGCAUAUUUUUUUUUAAAGUCUGGCCUGCCCACUGAUGUUAAAUUAAAGGGCCGCGGUAGCCUGACCGUGCGAAGGUAGCAUAAUCACUUGUCUCUUAAUUGGGGGCUGGAAUGAACGGUCGGAUGAGGGAUAAAGUGUCUCUUGUUUAUAAUUAAAAUUUUACUUUUAAGUGAAAAGGCUUAAAUAUUGUUAAGUGAAGAUAAGACCCUAUAAAACUUUAUAUAUCCUAAUAUAUGGGCAUCCAAAUUUAAUUUAAAGAGCAAUAUGUUUAAUAUAUUUUGUUGGGGCGACAGGAAUAGAAAAGUAGUAUCUGUUUUAUUAAUAAGUUAAUAAUAAUUAGAUGUUGAGCCUUUAAUAUGGAUUAAAAGAACAAGUUACUUUAGGGAUAACAGCGUAAUUCUCUUUGAGAGUUCUAAUCGACAAGGGUAGUUGCGACCUCGAUGUUGAAUUAAAACUUCUACCAGGUGUAGCAGCUUGGUUAGCUAGUCUGUUCGACUAUUAAAGUUUUACAUGAUUUGAGUUCAAACCGGUGUAAGCCA
rnacentral:rRNA from 1 species